rnacentral:sRNA from 1 species
AACUGAAGUGUCCCAAAUCCUGGAAAUUUAAAUUUAAAAGCAGUUCGGUGGAAUGCA